rnacentral:rRNA from 1 species
CGUGUAGGCGGCCGACCAAGUCCGGUGUGAAAGCCCGGGGCUCACCCCCGGAAGUGCAUCGGAAACUAGCCGGCUUGAGCGCGAUAGAGGAGGGUGGAAUUCCUGGUGUAGCGGUGAAAUGCGUAGAUAUCAGGAGGAACAUCGGCGGCGAAGGCGGCCCUCUGGCUCGUUGCUGACGCUGAGACGCGAAAGCGUGGGGAGCAAACAGGAUUAGAUACCCUGGUAGUCCACGCUGUAAACGAUGGGUACUAGGUGUUCGGGGUGUUGACCCCCUGAGUGCCGACGCUAACGCAUUAAGUACCCCGCCUGGGGACUACGGCCGCAAGGCUAAA